rnacentral:rRNA from 1 species
GUCGAGCGAACAGACGAGGAGCUUGCUUCUCUGACGUUAGCGGCGGACGGGUGAGUAACACGUGGAUAACCUACCUAUAAGACUGGGAUAACUUCGGGAAACCGGAGCUAAUACCGGAUAAUAUACUGAACCGCAUGGUUCAAUAGUGAAAGACGGUUUUGCUGUCACUUAUAGAUGGAUCCGCGCCGCAUUAGCUAGUUGGUAAGGUAACGGCUUACCAAGGCAACGAUGCGUAGCCGACCUGAGAGGGUGAUCGGCCACACUGGAACUGAGACACGGUCCAGACUCCUACGGGAGGCAGCAGUAGGGAAUCUUCCGCAAUGGGCGAAAGCCUGACGGAGCAACGCCGCGUGAGUGAUGAAGGUCUUCGGAUCGUAAAACUCUGUUAUUAGGGAAGAACAAAUGUGUAAGUAACUAUGCACGUCUUGACGGUACCUAAUCAGAAAGCCACGGCUAACUACGUGCCAGCAGCCGCGGUAAUACGUAGGUGGCAAGCGUUAUCCGGAAUUAUUGGGCGUAAAGCGCGCGUAGGCGGUUUUUUAAGUCUGAUGUGAAAGCCCACGGCUCAACCGUGGAGGGUCAUUGGAAACUGGAAAACUUGAGUGCAGAAGAGGAAAGUGGAAUUCCAUGUGUAGCGGUGAAAUGCGCAGAGAUAUGGAGGAACACCAGUGGCGAAGGCGACUUU